rnacentral:rRNA from 1 species
AUUGAACGCUGGAGGCAGGCCUAACACAUGCAAGUCGAGCGAGCGGCGGACGGGUGAGUAAUGUCUGGGAAACUGCCUGAUGGAGGGGGAAAACUACUGGAAACGGUCGCUAAUAACGCAUAGCAUCAGAUGUGCCCAGAUGGGAUUAGCUAGUAGGUGGGGUAACGGCUAACCUAGGCUACGAUCCCUAGCUGGUCUGAGAGGAUGACAAGCAACACUUGAACUGGGACAAGGGCCAGACGCCUACGGGAGGCAGCAGUGGGGAAUAUUGCACAAUCGGCGCAAGCCUGAUGCAGCCAUGCCGCGUGUGUGAAGAAGGCCUUCGGGUUGUAAAGCACUUUCAGCGGGGAGGCGUUACCCGCAGAAGAAGCACCGGCUAACUCCGUGCCAGCAGCCGCGGUAAUAC